rnacentral:snoRNA from 1 species
AAGCCAGUCAAUGAAUCUCCACUGACUUAAUUGUGUUUCUGCAGAAAUUUUUUAUAACUAGUGAUAUAAAUGCCAUGUUAAUGGCAUUGGGGUCAUUAAGGUCCCUGAAAGUGGGUACAUAA